CCAUGCUGAAAGUGUCCGAAACCAACCCAUCUGCCAGAGGCCUCAAACAACCGUUUCAUCUCUCUCGUUUAUGGUGGUGGAGAGUAUGAACUCUGAAGAGGAAGGAGGAAUAUUUUGAUAAAUCCAGAACGGAGUGGGAUCGAAGCUGCUUUUAUAUCGUUUUAAGAACCGAUUAGUAAAUAAUCUAUCGGACCGAAGAUGCUUGCUUUCUCCAUAUCAACCUCCCCGUCAAUGGCCGAGCUAGGGUUUGGCUCGGCCUCUCUGCGACAUGAAUUUCCGUUGUUCUCUCACUCUAAGACGUUAGAACUCGAUUGUUUCAAGUUGAGAAACCGGAAGUUAGGGUUUCGUAAUGGUCGUAGGAGCGAAAUAAAGAAGUUGUCUGUGAAGCUGAAGUCUCUGAUGAGUGUUGAGAAGCCGGUCGAGAAAGAUGGAAGUGGAGGUGCGGGUGACGAGAAAUAUGACGCAAUUGUCAUCGGGUCCGGAAUUGGUGGACUGGUCGCGGCAACGCAGCUGGCGGUGAAGGGAGCGAAGGUGCUGGUGCUAGAGAAGUAUGUGAUUCCUGGUGGAAGCUCAGGGUUUUAUCAAAGGGAUGGGUACACAUUUGACGUUGGAUCGUCUGUGAUGUUUGGAUUCAGUGAUAAGGGAAAUUUAAAUUUGAUAACCCAGGCAUUGGCAGCAGUGGGGUGUGAGAUGCAAGUAAUUCCUGAUCCAACCACUGUCCAUUUUCAUCUACCUGAUAAUCUGUCCGUACAAGUACACAGAGAGUACAGUGACUUCAUUGCAGACCUCACCAAUAAAUUUCCACAUGAAAAGGAAGGGAUCCUCAAAUUUUAUGGCGAAUGUUGGAAGGUCUUCAAUGCCUUGAAUUCAUUGGAAUUGAAGUCACUUGAGGAGCCACUCUACCUUUUUGGGCAAUUCUUUCAGAAGCCCCUGGAAUGCUUGACACUGGCUUACUAUUUGCCUCAGAAUGCCGGAGACAUUGCUCGGAAGUUUAUAAGGGAUCCCAGAUUGUUGUCUUUCAUAGAUUCUGAGUGUUUUAUAGUGAGUACAGUAAAAGCUUCACAGACACCAAUGAUCAAUGCAAGCAUGGUUCUGUGUGACAGGCAUUUUGGGGGAAUCAACUACCCGGUUGGUGGUGUUGGUGGGAUUGCAAAGUCCUUGGCAAAAGGGCUGGUUGAUAAGGGAAGUAAAAUACUUUACAGGGCAAAUGUUACCAGCAUUAUACUUGAGCAUGGGAAGGCUGUAGGAGUAAGGGUUUCAGACGGAAGGGAGUUUUUUUCCAAAACUGUAAUAUCAAAUGCAACUAGAUGGGAUACCUUCGGUAAACUUUUGAAAGGAGAAGAUCUUCCAAAAGAGGAGGAAGAUUUUCAAAGAGUUUAUGUUAAGGCCCCAUCGUUUCUUUCCAUUCACAUGGGAGUCAAAGCAGAGGUGUUGCCACCGGAUACAGAUUGCCAUCAUUUUGUUCUUGAGAGUGAUUGGGCACGGUUGGAGGAGCCAUAUGGUAGCAUAUUUUUGAGCAUUCCAACUGUUUUGGAUCCGUCAUUGGCUCCAGAAGGAUGCCAUAUUCUUCAUAUAUUUACAACAUCUUGCAUAGAGGACUGGAAGGGACUCCCUCAAAAAGACUAUGAAGCAAAAAAGGAGCUCGUGGCCGAUGAAAUCAUAAGCAGACUAGAAAGGGAACUUUUUCCAGAGCUUAAAUCAUCCAUUGUUUUUAAAGAGGUGGGGACACCCAAGACACACAGGCGAUUCCUUGCUCGUGAUAGUGGUACCUAUGGGCCUAUGCCUCGUACAAUCCCCAAGGGCUUGUUGGGGAUGCCAUUUAAUACAACUGCUAUAGAUGGACUCUACUGUGUUGGUGAUAGCUGCUUUCCAGGGCAAGGAGUUAUAGCUGUUUCCUUUUCAGGAAUCAUGUGUGCUCAUCGAGUAGCUGCAGAUAUCGGGCUUGAGAAAAGAUACCCAGUAUUGGAUGCUGCCCAUCUUAAACUUCUUCGCUGGUUAAGGACAAUUGCUUGAAAAGAGUGGCUUCAUAAAAAAUAUGGGCCAAUGAUGCCUUUGGUUUGGUGGAAGAAUAGAAGAUGGGAACUUCUAGGGCCUUUCUAAGCCAUCGAGGCAUAAAAUUACCUACUCAAGCAGAUGUUCUUCGGCAAGUGGAAGCAUCAUGAGUUGGCAAUGGAACAAUUUGGGUUGACAUUAGAAGGUGACAGCUACCCAGUAUACACCCUAGGGGAAUUGGAACUUGGAAGUACCAUACUUGGCAGAUACAGUAGAAAUGCCAUAAUAUGAUGUAAGCGUGCAUCAAACAGUUCCCUCUCAAAUUAUAAGGAAUUUUUUUGGUAAAGAAAUUAUAAGCUCGUAAGGUUGUGUAAGACUAUCUCAAAAUGGAUGGAUCAGUGACUGUAAUGUUGUGCGUCUUGAUCAUGGUAAGAUUUGUAUCAAUGAUGAUAACUGUAUGUCUCUUGUUGAGUAUCAAAGGCUACGGGCAGUGGAAUAUCCUAUCCUUAUUUGUGCGGGGAAUUUUUCACCCGUAUUCUGGAGCUGCUGGAUCGGAUUAUGUUGUUAUAUUUAAUUUGUAGUUUAGUAUUGCUUGUAUGGAAUAUCCACAGGAUCCAGAAGCAAGAGGAAUUUUCAGGGGCUGCGGUGGAUUAAGAAGGAAGGAUGGAAGAAAGUAGAGUCGUGAGUUUUUGAGUGACAAUUGCAGUCGUGGCUUUUGCAGGCAGUCUGGGAGGUUGGCCGUGAAGCUGUUUGUGCAUUUAUAUGAUGUUUUUGUUGUAAACAAUCCAACUCAUGUUGUUAUUAUUAAACAAGAUCAGAUGUAUAUGUCACUAGCUACAGGUUAGUUCAGACUUCAGAGGGCGAGGGAACAGGACCACCCUCAAAAAAUUACAACUGAUGUAGAUAUGGGUUUAUUUGUUUAAUUAAUUUUUUUUUUCAUUGUA